rnacentral:tRNA from 1 species
UAGGAAGUAGGUAAAUGGCAUACUAUAAAAAUUUGAAUUUUAUAUUAGGAGUUCAAUUCUCUUUUUCCUAU